GAUGAAGAACGUAGCGAAAUGCGAUAAGUAAUGCGAAUUGCAGAAUUUCAGUGAAUCAUCGAAUCUUUGAACGCACAUUGCGCCCGCCAGUAUUCUGGCGGGCAUGCCUGUUCGAGCGUCAUUUCAACCCUCAAGCACAGCUUGGUGUUGGGACUCGCGUUAAUUCGCGUUCCUCAAAUUGAUUGGCGGUCACGUCGAGCUUCCAUAGCGUAGUAGUAAAACCCUCGUUACUGGUAAUCGUCGCGGCCACGCCGUUAAACCCCAACUUCUGAAUGUUGACCUCGGAUCAGGUAGGAAUACCCGCUGAACUUAAGCAUAUCAAUAAGCGGAGGA
rnacentral:misc_RNA from 1 species